AGGGGGUGCUUACCUGCAAGUCGAACGAUGAAGCCCAUUCGGGGUGGAUUAGUGGCGAACGGGUGAGUAACACGUGGGCAAUCUGCCCUUCACUCUGGGACAAGCCCUGGAAACGGGGUCUAAUACCGGAUACCACUCCUGUCCGCAUGGGCAGGGGUUGAAAGCUCCGGCGGUGAAGGAUGAGCCCGCGGCCUAUCAGCUUGUUGGUGGGGUAACGGCCCACCAAGGCGACGACGGGUAGCCGGCCUGAGAGGGCGACCGGCCACACUGGGACUGAGACACGGCCCAGACUCCUACGGGAGGCAGCAGUGGGGAAUAUUGCACAAUGGGCGAAAGCCUGAUGCAGCGACGCCGCGUGAGGGAUGACGGCCUUCGGGUUGUAAACCUCUUUCAGCAGGGAAGAAGCGAAAGUGACGGUACCUGCAGAAGAAGCGCCGGCUAACUACGUGCCAGCAGCCGCGGUAAUACGUAGGGCGCAAGCGUUGUCCGGAAUUAUUGGGCGUAAAGAGCUCGUAGGCGGCUUGUCACGUCGGAUGUGAAAGCCCGAGGCUUAACCUCGGGUCUGCAUUCGAUACGGGCUAGCUAGAGUGUGGUAGGGGAGAUCGGAAUUCCUGGUGUAGCGGUGAAAUGCGCAGAUAUCAGGAGGAACACCGGUGGCGAAGGCGGAUCUCUGGGCCAUUACUGACGCUGAGGAGCGAAAGCGUGGGGAGCGAACAGGAUUAGAUACCCUGGUAGUCCACGCCGUAAACGUUGGGAACUAGGUGUUGGCGACAUUCCACGUCGUCGGUGCCGCAGCUAACGCAUUAAGUUCCCCGCCUGGGGGAGUACGGCGCAGCUAAACUCAAGACUGACGGGGCCCGCACAGCGGCGGGAGCAUGGUGGCUUUAUUUCGACGCA
rnacentral:rRNA from 1 species